GUUUUAUUCCUUUUCUUUUGUGCUUCUUCAUUUCCAGGUUUUCUUUCCUCCUCUGAUCACAUUCUUCAAAGAGAGUUUCUUUACCUCAGAUCUAUCAGUUAUGAUCUCUUGUCUUGGAUUUUUUUUUUCUUUCUUUUUGUUAAAUUUGCUUUAAGAGUGCGAUGCCAUAUCAAGUCAACAUUGUUCUCUCACGGUGUACUCUAUAACAGGUGUGGGUGGGGUUUAUGGUUGGGAUACUAGGAAAGGCUAAAGUAGCAGGAUCGGCGUGAAUAAGAAAGAAAAGGUCUUUAGGAAAUCUGGGGGGAAGCACAUUGUAUUGACCAUACAAUGCUGAUGUGACGUAGCCGUUAAGUGUCAAGUGAUCUUUAAAAAAAAAAAAAACAGCAACAACCAUAACUUGUUCUGACUAGUUUGGACUCGGAUUUGAAGAUGGAUUGGAAAGAGGUUUUGAAUGCAAUUAGGUUAUGCUAUUUGGACAAUAAACUCACCUUGACCUAC
rnacentral:lncRNA from 1 species